rnacentral:pre_miRNA from 11 species
AACCGCACGGGAUAUCAUUUAUCCUGUGCGGUCAUGUUAAGUAGACCGCACGAGAUAAUAGAUUAUCCCGUGCGGUC